rnacentral:rRNA from 1 species
AUUGAACGCUAGCGGGAUGCUUUACACAUGCAAGUCGAACGGCAGCGCGGACUUCGGUCUGGCGGCGAGUGGCGAACGGGUGAGUAAUGUAUCGGAACGUGCCCAGUAGCGGGGGAUAACUACGCGAAAGCGUAGCUAAUACCGCAUACGCCCUACGGGGGAAAGCAGGGGAUCGUAAGACCUUGCACUAUUGGAGCGGCCGAUAUCGGAUUAGCUAGUUGGUGAGGUAACGGCUCACCAAGGCGACGAUCCGUAGCUGGUUUGAGAGGACGACCAGCCACACUGGGACUGAGACACGGCCCAGACUCCUACGGGAGGCAGCAGUGGGGAAUUUUGGACAAUGGGGGCAAACCUGAUACAGCCAUCCCGCGUGUGCGAUGAAGGCCUUCGGGUUGUAAAGCACUUUUGGCAGGAAAGAAACGUCGCGGGCUAAUACCCCGUGGAACUGACGGUACCUGCAGAAUAAGCACCGGCUAACUACGUG